rnacentral:rRNA from 1 species
CAGCCGCCGCGGUAAUACAGAGGGUGCGAGCGUUAAUCGGAUUUACUGGGCGUAAAGCGUGCGUAGGCGGCUUCUUAAGUCGGAUGUGAAAUCCCUGAGCUUAACUUAGGAAUUGCAUUCGAUACUGGGAAGCUAGAGUAUGGGAGAGGAUGGUAGAAUUUCAGGUGUAGCGGUGAAAUGCGUAGAGAUCUGGAGGAAUACCGAUGGCGAAGGCAGCCAUCUGGCCUAAUACUGACGCUGAGGUACGAAAGCAUGGGGAGCAAACAGGAUUAGAUACCCCUGUAGUCCCUGUCUCUUAUAC